rnacentral:rRNA from 1 species
GACGAGCUCCCGAACGUUAUUCGGUAUUACUGGGCUUAAAGAGUUCGUAGGCGGCCCGACAGGUGAGGUGGUGAAAUCCCUCGGCUCAACCGAGGAACUGCGCUUCAAACCGUCAGGCUUGAGGGAGAUAGAGGUGAGCGGAACAGAUGGUGGAGCGGUGAAAUGCGUUGAUAUCAUCUGGAACACCGGUGGCGAAGGCGGCUUCCUGGACCGGUUCUGACACUGAGGAGCGAAAGGCGUGGGGAGCGAGUACCGG